AACUUGAGGGAGAGGUAAGUGAGGAUGUGGUAAAUGGUCCACCCAGAAGAUUGUCUGGGGCAAGGUGGUCAACUCCACAUCUCAAGAUUGCCUCCACCAAGAAGGAAAUAAGGGCCUUUCGUUGCCAGCUGCUGCAGGAUGGACUUGCGUGCAUGGAUGCCUUGGGGAGAUGGCGUCAGCCUGAUGUGACCAGUUACCGUGUUGAGUAAACCUCUCCUACAGAGCUCUGCCAUGCACCCUCACAGUGCUUGGGGCUCAGAGGAGUUACUCAUUGCCUGUCUGCACUGCAGAGUGAAGUCCUACAGUGAAUCAGAUGUAAACUCACGUUUCUUAAGCGUCUGAGGUGAAAUGCUUGGAAAAUUUACCUUGGAAAAGGACCAGGCUCGAAGGCCUCCAGCUUAUUUUGCUGUAGCUGCAAUAUCUCAGGGCACCACCAGGUCAAAGGUUUAUAGACAGAGGGAAGUGUGCUGGCCCUCCUGUGCCCCCUUUCCAUCCGUAUUCUUAAAUGAGGCCACAACUCGCUGAAAGUCCUUGUAAGGAUUCCUGUGAAGAAUAAAUCAAAACAACAUAAUCAGAUAAAAAAAUAAUUGCUUUUCCAUCUGCUGAAGUUUA